rnacentral:lncRNA from 7 species
CUCGUACGUGUACCGGUAUCGUUGUUGCCUUCAGAACUAGGACUGCUGCUGUUGCCCUGUGACGUGUGCAGCAGCGAGAUGGUAUUGGUAGCCAAGACCAAGAGGUAUUGCUUUUCUGCAGCGCAAAAGCCAGUGCAAGGUAGGUGCACAAUUAUGAAGCUGCCCGCCUUCAAUUAAUUAAGCUGGCGGUUAAGCGCACCUGUCAGUCUAAACAGCAAUCACGCGCCAGUGAUAAAUGUCGUCCAGCAUCGGCCCCCCGUACUAGCUUUGACAAAAAU